GCCUGGGUGGCUCAGCCGGUGGAGCGUCCCACUUCCGCUCAGGCCAUGACCUCACGGUUCGUGGGUUCGAGCCCCACUUCGGGCU
rnacentral:tRNA from 1 species